rnacentral:rRNA from 1 species
CCUACGGGGGGCAGCAGUAGGGAAUCUUCCGCAAUGGGCGAAAGCCUGACGGAGCAACGCCGCGUGAGUGAUGAAGGUCUUCGGAUCGUAAAACUCUGUUAUUAGGGAAGAACAAAUGCGUAAGUAACUGUGCGCGUCUUGACGGUACCUAAUCAGAAAGCCACGGCUAACUACGUGCCAGCAGCCGCGGUAAUACGUAGGUGGCAAGCGUUAUCCGGAAUUAUUGGGCGUAAAGCGCGCGUAGGCGGUUUUUUAAGUCUGAUGUGAAAGCCCACGGCUCAACCGGGGAGGGUCAUUGGAAACUGAAAAACUUGAGUGCAGAAGAGGAAAGUGGAAUUCCAUGUGUAGCGGUGAAAUGCGCAGAGAUAUGGAGGAACACCAGUGGCGAAGGCGACUUUCUGGUCUGUAACUGACGCUGAUGUGCGAAAGCGUGGGGAUCAAACAGGAUUAGAUACCCGGGUAGUC